GGCUGGUUUACCAUGACUUCUUCAGAGACCCUCUCAACUGGUCAAAAACUGAGGAGGCCUUUCCUGGGGGGCCGCUGGGAGCCUUGAGAGCCAUGUGCAAGAGGACAGAUCCUGUUCCUGUCACCAUUGCUCUCGAUUCACUCAGCUGGCUGCUACUUCGCCUUCCUUGCACCACACUCUGCCAGGCCCUGCAUGCUGUGAGCCAUCAGGACUCUUGUCCUGACUCAGUGGUUCUCCAUCCUUCCGGACUUCAGCCUGGAUCUCCAAGAGGGGCUCUCUGUAGAGUCCCAGCCCUACUCCGAUCCUCAUAUACCCCCGGUAUCUAAGAAUGCCAAGGCCAGAACAAGGAAAUGUAGUUUAGUGUCUGGUCAAGGGAGAGAAAAUAAAAGCUGCAGAGGUUGGGGGUGGGGUCAGGGAUUCUAGGGAUGGGGCAGAGUGGCAGCAUCCUUUGUACCUACAGGUGGAUCCCACAACUCAUUUGACCUUUAACCUUCACCUGUCCAAGAAAGAGAGAGAAGCCAGAGAUAGCCUGAUCCUGCCCUUCCAGUUCAGUUCUGAAAAGUAAGGUUGGGACCUGGGUACGUGGAUCCCUGAGUAGAGCCCAGCAUCUGGGCCGUGGAGAGGUGGGGCAACAGGUUAUUGAUUAACCUGACUUUAUAGGGACUGAAGUCCACCUCCAGAGACAAGUCCAAGUUCUUGAUCCACCCAUUCCCCCUAUAAUGGCAGAGGACCUUUAUGUCUCUUUUCUCUCCCUUAGACCCUUGGGUCACAGCUCCAGUUGUCCCCAGAGCACCCUGGGCCUGGGCUGAGCCAGACCAGACCCUUGGGAGGUGGCGCUAUCCCUAGGCAGUGGUGCUAGGAGGACAGAAGGCUAUAUGGGCGUGGCAAAGGCUGGUUAACAAGGGCUUAGUACAUGCCUGCUGUUCUGUGCCCAGUAUGUGGGCGGAUGAAGCAAGACUACAAGAUCCUUGCCCUCAAGCUGCUAGGAACUUCCGGUUUU
rnacentral:lncRNA from 1 species